rnacentral:rRNA from 1 species
UGAGGAAUUUUGGUCAAUGGGGGAAACCCUGAACCAGCGACGCCGCGUGUGGGAUGACGGGGCUUUGCCCUGUAAACCACUGUCGGAAGGGAAGAAAAGUCCCCUCAGGGGACCGGGACUGUACCUUCAAAGGAAGGAUCGGCUAACUACGUGCCAGCAGCCGCGGUAAUACGUAGGAUCCAAGCGUUGUCCGGAUUUACUGGGUAUAAAGGGUGCGUAGGCGGGCAUGUGCGUCAGGGGUAAAAUACAUCGGCUCAACCGGUGGCCUGCCCUUGAUACGGCAUGUCUUGAGUUCGAGAGAGGAUGAUGGAAUUCCUGGUGUAGCGGUGAAAUGCGUAGAUAUCAGGAGGAACACCAGUGGCGAAGGCGGUCAUCUGGUUCGCAACUGACGCUGAGGCACGAAAGCGUGGGUAGCAAACA